UUACAGGAAAACGUUGGUGACAAAGCAGGAGAAGUAGCCCACAAAGUUGUCAUUGAAAUUCUAAAAAUUGCGGAUGACCUGGAGGUUACAGGAACUGUUUUGAAUGUUGUAUGCCAAGUUGCGGGAGACCUGCUAAUCAAACUGAGUGAAGCUUUGGGCAACAUUAAAUUAGACUUGUCUGGGACAGUGGGUGGUCUGAAAAACCUGCUAGGCUGAAGGAUUUUCACGUCAUUGACUUGCCUGCCAUUUUAAAAUCAAAUACCAAAGAAGAAAUCAUCUGAUCCUCUUAACCAAGCCACUUAUAUGUAGUUACAUAUGUAAAUUUUAAUGAAUAAAUAAAAUCUUCAGCAAA